rnacentral:rRNA from 1 species
GACGAACGCUGGCGGCGUGCUUAACACAUGCAAGUCGAACGGAAAGGCCCUGCUUUUGUGGGGUGCUCGAGUGGCGAACGGGUGAGUAACACGUGAGUAACCUGCCCUUGACUUUGGGAUAACUUCAGGAAACUGGGGCUAAUACCGGAUAGGAGCUCCUGCUGCAUGGUGGGGGUUGGAAAGUUUCGGCGGUUGGUGAUGGACUCGCGGCUUAUCAGCUUGUUGGUGAGGUAGUGGCUUACCAAGGCUUUGACGGGUAGCCGGCCUGAGAGGGUGACCGGCCAAAUUGGGACGGAAAUAAGGCCCAGACUCGAAUGGGAGGCAGCAGUGGGGAAUAUUGUACAAUGGGCGGAAGCCUGAUGCAGCAACGCCGCGUGCGGGAUGACGGCCUUCGGGUUGUAAACCGCUUUCGCCUGUGACGAAGCGUGAGUGACGGUAAUGGGUAAAGAAGCACCGGCUAACUACGUG